GAUGAAGAACGUAGCGAAAUGCGAUACGUAUGUGAAUUGCAGAAUUCAGUGAAUCAUCGAGUCUUUGAACGCACAUUGCGCCCCCUGGUAUUCCGGGGGGCAUGCCUGUCCGAGCGUCAUUGCUGCCCUCAAGCACGGCUUGUGUGUUGGGCCUCCGUCCUCCUCCCGGGGGACGGGCCCGAAAGGCAGCGGCGGCACCGCGUCCGGUCCUCGAGCGUAUGGGGCUUCGUCACCCGCUCUUGUAGGCCCGGCCGGCGCUUGCCGACACAUCAAUCUUUUUUCCAGGUUGACCUCGGAUCAGGUAGGGAUACCCGCUGAACUUAAGCAUAUCAAUAAGCGGAGGA
rnacentral:misc_RNA from 1 species